ACAACCCCAAGUUAGGUGGGAUUACUCUCUGAGUUUAAGCAUAUCAAUAAGUGUAGGAAAAUAAACUUACUAAGAUUACUUUAGUAAUGGUGAACGAACUGAGAAGAGCCCAGCUUGAGAAUGGGUGCCCUAGCAUCAAAAUUAUAGUCUAGAGAAACAUUUUUAGUAGUGGACUAGCAAUAAGUCCCUUGGAAAGAGGCACUAGAAAUGGUAAGAGCCCCAUUGCGCCUUGACCUUAUUGUACCAUAAGGCACUAUUUGUGAGUCAGGUUGUUUGAGAAUACAACCCUAAUUUGAUAAUAAAUUUUGUCCAAGGUUGUAUACGGGUGAGAGAGCAAUAGUGAACAAGUAUUGCAAGGAAAAAAUGAAAAGAACUUUGAAAAGAGAGUUAAAAAGUUCUUGCAAUUAUCAAGAAGGAAGUAGAUGAAGGCCAAGUAUGUGCCUCAAUUAGAUGCAGAAUGGCAAGAGUUAGUUCGUUUAUCAGCUCAAGGCAUGGACCAAUGUAGGUCAUGAUGGUAGCCCAAGCCCAAGCUUUCCAUAUGCCCAUGAAGAUGUCAUCACCAAGAUCAUGGAAUGUAGAAUGCGUUGUCUCGACAUGCCUUGACAAUAGCAUGCUCUUGGUGUCAAACUCUAGGCUUCCUAUCUAGCCCAUCUUGAAGCAUAGACCAAAGAGUUUGACAUGUGUGCAAGUCAAUGAGCUAGAAAACCCAUAAGGCACAAGAAAGUUGAUUGAUGGGAUCCUCUAUAGGCAUAUUGCCAACUAACCUUGAUCUUUAGAGAAAGGUUCAUGUGUGAGCAUGCCUGUCGAGACUUGAAAGAUAGUGAACUAUGCUUGAGUAGGGCAAAGCUAAAAGAAACUCUGGUGGAGGCCUAUAGUGAUAUUGAUGUGCAAAUCAUUUUUCUAACUAGAGUAUAAGGGUAAAAGACUAAUUAAACUAUCUAGUAGUUAGUUCCCUUUAAAGUUUCCCUCAAGAUGGCUGGAGCCCUUAAUGAGUUCUAUCUAGUCAAGCCAAUGAUUAAAAGCUUUGGGUGUGCAAUGCCCUCAGCUUAUUCUCAAACUUUAAAUGGGUAGGAUGGCAUGACUACUUCGUUAAGUCAUGCCAUGAAAUUGAGAGCUCCUAGUGGGCUAUUUUCAUAAGCAAAACUGGCGAUGCAAGAUGAACCAAAAAUAGGGUUAUAGUGCCCAACUAUGCACUAACCUAGAACCCAUAAAGAGUAUUGGUCAAUUAAAAUAGUAGUUAGUUCCCUUUGAAGUUUCCUUCAAGAUGGCUGGAGCCCUUAAUGAGUUCUAUCUGGUCAAGCUAAUGAUUAAAAGCUUUGGGUGUGCAAUUCCCUCAACUUAUUCUCAAACUUUAAAUAGGUAGGAUGGCAUGACUACUUCGUUAAGCCAUGCCAUGAAAUUGAGAGCUCCUAGUGAGCUAUUUUCAUAAACAAAAUUGGCGAUGCAAGAUGAACAAAAAAUAGGGUUAUAGUGCCCAACUAUGCAUUAACCUAGAACCUAUAAAGAGUGUUGGUCAAUUAAAAUAGCAAAAUGGUGGUCAUGGAAGUCAAAAUUCACUUUAGAGUGUGUAGUAACUCACCUGCUGAAUCAACUAGCCCUGAAAAUGGAUGGCACUUAUGCAUGUGACCUAUACUUAACUAUCGAGGGAAGGGCUAAGCCUCAAUGAGUAGGAAGGCACAAUGAUUGUUGUAAAACAUGAGGCAUGAGCUUGGUAGAAGUGACCAUUGGUGCAGAUCUUAGUGGUAGUAGCAAAUAUUCAAAUGAGAACUUUAAAGGUUGAAAAGGGGAAAGGUUCCAUGUGAAUGGCAGUUGCAUAUGGGUUAGUUGAUCCUAAAAGAUAGGCUAAGCCAUUCAAUAGCACAUCCAGUACGAGUCUUGAAAAGGAAUCGAGUUAAAAUUCUUAAACCGAGAUGUGACGACUGAUGGUAAUGUUUGGGAGUACAAGGACAUUAGCGAGGGCCUUAGGAAGAGUUAUCUUUUCUAUUUAACAAGUUGUCCACCCUAGAAACAACUCUAUUGAAGGUAGGUCUAGCAGCUAGAAGAACACCACACAUCGUAUGGUGUCCAAUGUGCCCCCAGUAGCCCUUGAAAAUUUACAGGCCAAGUGCCAUCCAUACCUAGUUGUACUCAUAACCGCAUCAAGUCUCCAAGGUGAAUAGCUUCUGGUCGAUGGAAUAAUGUAGGUAAAGGAAGUUGACAAAAUGGAUCCUUAACCUUGGAAAAAAGAUUAGCUUUAAGGGCUAGGCACAGGGGUCCCAAUCUUGAACCUGUUGGCUGUCAGUGCACUAUUUAAGCUAUUCUAGUGGCGAGAGUGAUUGCCAUGUGUCAGUUGGGAGAUGGACUAGGAACAGCUUCCUCUGGGGCAUUUUUCAGGUGAUAAACAGUCAGGUCAGAAUUGGUACGAACACAGGGAUCUGACUGUUCAAUUAAAAUAAAGCAUUAUGAUGGUCCUUAUGGAUGCUCACGUAAUGUGAUUUUUACCCAAUGAUCUGAAUGUCAAAGUGAAAAAAUUGAACUAGGCACAAGUAAAUGGCAGGAGUAAGUAAGACUCUUUUAAAAUAGCCAAAUGCCUCAUCAUCAAAUUAAUAACACAUAUGAAUGGAUUAACAAGAUUCCCACUAUCCCUAUCUACUAUCUAGUGAAACCAUAGCCAAGGGAAUGGGCUUGGUAAAAUCAGUAGGGAAAGAACACCCUAUUGAGCUUGACUCUAGUCAAAUUUUGUGAAAUGACAUGAGAGGUGUAGGAUAAGUGGAAAGCCUUAGGUGAAAUUGAAAUACCACUACUUUUAACUUUAUUUUACUUAUUUUGUGAAUUAAAGGCAGGGCUCAACCUUUUUUUUUGGACCCAAGGCUGGCCUUAGUUGAUUGAUUUGAGUGGAAGACAUUGUUAGGUGAAGAGUUUGGUUGGGAAGGAAUAUCUAUUAAAGAUAAUGUAAGUGUCCUAAAAUGAGCUCAAUGAGAAUAAAAAUGUCAUAUGGAAUAAAAGGGUAAAAGCUCAUUUGAUUCUAAUUUUCAGUACGAAUAUGAACCAUGAAAGCAUGGUCUAUCAAUCUUUUACACCUUUGAAAUUUGAAGCUAGAGGUGUCAAAAAAAUUACCACAAGGAUAACUGGCUUGUGGUAGCCAAGCAUUCAUAGCGAUGUUGCUUGUUUAUCCUUCAAUGUUAGCUUUUCCUAUCAUUACGAAGCAAAAUUCACCAAAUGUUGGAUUGUUUUCCCACCAAUAGGGAAUGUGAGCUAGGUUUAGACCAUUGUGAGACAAGUUAGUUUACCCUAUUGAUGGCAAUGUCGCAAUAGUAAUUCAACCUAGUAACAGAAGAACUAUCAAUUCACAUAAUUGGUCAUCACGCUUGGUUGAAAAACCAAUGGCGUAAAGUUACCAUACACUAGAUUAUGAUUGAAUGCCUUUAAGUCAAAAUCCAGGCUAGAAGUGAUGCACACAUCCGUUUCUCAAUUGUUGACCCAUAGUAAGGGCCUAUGGCUCCCAAAGGCACGUGUCAUAGGUGCAGCCCCCACGGUAGACAAGUUGCGUGGGACUCUUUGGAGCUCAAUUCCCAUUAAG
rnacentral:rRNA from 1 species